rnacentral:tRNA from 3 species
CGGGAUGUAGCUCAGCUUGGCUAGAGCGUCCGGUUUGGGUCCGGAAGGCCGCAGGUUCGAAUCCUGUCAUCCCGA